UACGGAGGGGGCUAGCGUUGUUCGGAAUUACUGGGCGUAAAGCGCACGUAGGCGGCUUUGUAAGUUAGAGGUGAAAGCCCAGGGCUUAACCCUGGAAUUGCCUUUAAGACUGCAUCGCUAGAAUCGUGGAGAGGUGAGUGGAAUUCCGAGUGUAGAGGUGAAAUUCGUAGAUAUUAGGAGGAACACCGGUGGCGAAGGCGCCACUCUGGGCCGAAACUGACGCUGAGGAGCGAAAGCGUGGGUAGCAAACAGG
rnacentral:rRNA from 1 species